GGCGGGACACGUGGUAUCCUGUCUGAAUAUGGGGGGACCAUCCUCCAAGGCUAAAUACUCCUGACUGACCGAUAGUGAACCAGUACCGUGAGGGAAAGGCGAAAAGAACCCCGGCGAGGGGAGUGAAAAAGAACCUGAAACCGUGUACGUACAAGCAGUGGGAGCCUCUUUAUGGGGUGACUGCGUACCUUUUGUAUAAUGGGUCAGCGACUUAUAUUCUGUAGCAAGGUUAACCGAAUAGGGGAGCCGAAGGGAAACCGAGUCUUAACUGGGCGUUAAGUUGCAGGGUAUAGACCCGAAACCCGGUGAUCUAGCCAUGGGCAGGUUGAAGGUUGGGUAACACUAACUGGAGGACCGAACCGACUAAUGUUGAAAAAUUAGCGGAUGACUUGUGGCUGGGGGUGAAAGGCCAAUCAAACCGGGAGAUAGCUGGUUCUCCCCGAAAGCUAUUUAGGUAGCGCCUCGUGAAUUCAUCUCCGGGGGUAGAGCACUGUUUCGGCAAGGGGGUCAUCCCGACUUACCAACCCGAUGCAAACUGCGAAUACCGGAGAAUGUUAUCACGGGAGACACACGGCGGGUGCUAACGUCCGUCGUGAAGAGGGAAACAACCCAGACCGCCAGCUAAGGUCCCAAAGUCAUGGUUAAGUGGGAAACGAUGUGGGAAGGCCCAGACAGCCAGGAUGUUGGCUUAGAAGCAGCCAUCAUUUAAAGAAAGCGUAAUAGCUCACUGGUCGAGUCGGCCUGCGCGGAAGAUGUAACGGGGCUAAACCAUG
rnacentral:rRNA from 1 species